rnacentral:lncRNA from 10 species
CCAAAGUGCUGAGAUUACAGGCGUGAGCCACUGCACCUGGCCCGGAACAGGCAAAUCUUUAGAGAGAAUGUAGAUUCAUGACUGCCAGAUGCUGGGAAGGAAAGAGAAAUAGGGAGUGACUGCUAGUGAGUUUAGAGGUCGUUUUGGGGGUGGUAGGAAUGUUCUGAAGUUCUGUAGUGGUGAUGGUGAUCCAACUCUGUGAACAUAUUAAAGUACUGUACUGAGUUGUACAACUUGAAAGGGUGAAUUUUAUGGUAUGUGAUUUAUACCUAUUUUUUAAGUGCAUUCUUCCCUUUUUUUAUAGACCCAUUAUUUCAUCAACAGGAGCAGAAAUGUGACAAAUGAAGGCAAAUUUUUAUACGACCUUAGAAAUAGCCUAGUUUUCCCUUGUCUUUCUUUUCCUUUUUCUUUUUUUCUUUUUUCUUUUUUUUUUUU